CGGUAUUGUCAGGUGAAAGCUUUCGAGUGCCAGCAAUACAUUCUUGUGGACCAACGCCGGUCCACGGACCACCAAUUGAAGACCACUGCACUACAGUACCUAGCCACACAUAAUACACCACAAACAGACACAGUUACACAUAAUAUACUAAAAACACUCACCUCUAUACACUCUCAAUCCCACAACUAGCCUCCAACCACAUACACCAGCACAGCCUUCCCACACAUGCACAACAC